AUUGAACGCUGGCGGCAGGCCUAACACAUGCAAGUCGAGCGGAGCGGCGGACGGGUGAGUAAUGCCUAGGAAUCUGCCUGGUAGUGGGGGAUAACGUCCGGAAACGGGCGCUAAUACCGCAUACUAUCAGAUGAGCCUAGGUCGGAUUGGCUAGUUGGUGGGGUAAAGGGCUACCAAGGUGACGAUCCGUAACAGGUCUGAGAGGAGGAUCAGUCACACUGGAACUGAGACACGGUCCAGACUCCUACGGGGGUAAGCAGUGGGGAAUAUUGGAAAAGGGGCGAAAGCCUGAUCCAGCCAUGCCGCGUGUGUGAAGAAGGUCUUCGGAUUGUAAAGCACGUUAAGUUGGGAGGCGUUACCAACAGAAUAAGCACCGGCUAACUUCGUGCCAGCAGCCGCGGUAAUUC
rnacentral:rRNA from 1 species